GUGAGGAAAUGUAAAAUUUUAGGGGAGGUGGAUGAAAAUCACCAUCGCUAGAGAUCAGGACUAGGGUUGACGCCCACACUUUUCUUACUAUAUAUUCGAUAUUCAGUUUCAGUUUAAUACAAUUUCACAGCCGCUGUCAUAAUCGACCCUUUGAAUCUAAUAGCAUUCACACGAUAUAUUUUUUCUGAAAAUCAUCCUUUGUUUUGAUAAAGUUAUCGAUCUGCGUCUUUUUCGGUCAUCAUAAUCACCAAGACUUUUAUGAGUCGAUUACGAAAAAAAAAAAUUAAAAAUCUCUAUCAUGCUUCUAGAUCCAAAAACUAGCAAAGAUCCGCAAUAUUUUAAAACAAAAAACAUUCAAGUAGAAUCAGAUCGGUACCAGUUAGGUGUUCAUCGCAUUUCAAAAGUCGGUUUCGUGGGUUUGUCUAGAGGCCACUGUACAUUAGCCUUUCCAAGUGUGAAAGGGAAUAUCGUAUAGGGUGUUUGAGGGUACAUAAGAAGAUGGAUCUGAAGGUGUGCUUUCAUUUCGGAAGAAUCAGAAUCGGAAUCACUAAUUCCGAUGUGAAGUGGAUUGUGUUCCUUGGGAAAGAUGUUUCUGAUGACCACAAAGUGUCGCUUUCACAAGCAGUUGAUAUCUUUCAUGUUUUCAUUGAUUGUAACAGAAAGGCUUCACAUCUAUUGUUGAUUCCAUUACCGGAAGUGAUUUUAUUCCAUCAAUGGUGACAUUCUAAGGAACAUCUUUGUUAGAAAUGUAGGUGGUGGGUCCUGAAGGUGGAAUUACUUUUCAAGAUGGUUUUGGUUUUUGUCUUUGCAUGGAGAAGUAAGUAAACAAUGAAUGAAUGAGUAAUGAAUACCCAUUUGGUGGAUUUAUAUUUGUUGGCUUUAAAAUAUAGAUUUGAUGUAUGUUUCAAGAUUUUUCCUUUGUUGAAUAUGUAAUUAUUGUUAAUUUUUUCAUGAAUUUAUAUUUU